rnacentral:rRNA from 1 species
UACGGGGGGGGCAAGCGUUGUUCGGAAUUACUGGGCGUAAAGGGCUCGUAGGCGGCCUACUAAGUCGGAUGUGAAAUCCCUCAGCUUAACUGGGGAACUGCGUCUGAUACUGGAUGGCUUGGAUUUGGGAGAGGGAUGCGGAAUUCCAGGUGUAGCGGUGAAAUGCGUAGAUAUCUGGAGGAACACCGGUGGCGAAGGCGGCAUCCUGGACCAACAUUGACGCUGAGGAGCGAAAGCCAGGGGAGCAAACGGG